UACGUAGGGCGCAAGCGUUGUCCGGAAUCAUUGGGCGUAAAGAGCGUGUAGGCGGUCCGAUAAGUCCGCUCUGAAAGCCCGGGGCUCAACCCCGGGAGGCGGGCGGAUACUGUCGGGCUAGAGUCCGGAAGAGGCAAGUGGAAUUCCUGGUGUAGCGGUGAAAUGCGCAGAUAUCAGGAGGAACACCGAUGGCGAAGGCAGCACUCUGGGACGGUACUGACGCUGAGACGCGAAAGCGUGGGGAGCAAACAGG
rnacentral:rRNA from 1 species